GUGCUCUGCAGCAGCCACCCAUGUCCACCAAUGGCUGCAGCAAGCACCCCUUUAAAACAGCAGCUCCACCUCCCUGCUCCUCCUCACACGCCAGCACAGGAACUCCUCCAGCCCUUUGGCUCGACGCCCGCAUGGAUGGAUGCCUGGUGCCUUUCCCGACAGCGCUCGGCGCCCUGCUCACCUGGAGCUUAGCCAUGGCCGACCUCCGUUUCUUCCCUGGUCGGCCCUCACGUCCACUCAGCUCCCAUGGCGCUCGGCGCCCUCUAUUCUUCCACUCCCAUGCCAUCCCCCUCCUAGCUCGGCUCUACCCUCCCUCUCCCCAUGGGACAGCCGUGCUCCUCCCUGCGUUAUGGCUGUGCAUACGUGCUGUAUUGGAGGUUGAAGAAGACCCCCUCAAGUCUAUGACACGUGGGCCCAGUGGCUAGUGACUGAGAGAUGAUGAUCAUGCAAGUGAUGUGGUGCCAACCACAAGGUGCAGUCGGUGGACGACCCAAAGAAGGAUGGACUUAACCAGUGGAUGCUCGCCAAGCGAGUGCUACCCAGCAAACACUGUCUAAGUGUUAAAUUAAAGGUACCUCCUUGAUUUGGUUGAUGGUGUGACUUGGCCUCCAUCCCUGCCACCGGGAUAGACGGUCGAGUGGGUUAUUGCUUCCGCAGGAGAGGACCAGGAGGAGUAGCGUGGCCAGGCUUCGCCAUGUUACUCGGUUUUCUCCGUUAGUUAUUUCCGCUGCAUUAAAAUUUAUGGUUAUUAUUUCUGAAACUCCGAUAAUGUAAAUCACUAAUGAUACUUUCUUAAUUUGUGGUAUUAUGCUUUAUUGUAUUUCUCUGUGCCUCACCUUCGAGUGAGCUAGUGGUAUUCGAUCCUGG
rnacentral:misc_RNA from 1 species